rnacentral:rRNA from 1 species
CCCUUCCCGAACUCGGAAGUUAAGUGCUCUAACGCCAAUGGUACUGCAUCUUAAGGUGUGGGAGAGUAGGUAACCGCCAAAC